rnacentral:rRNA from 1 species
GAUGAACGCUGGCGGCGUGCUUAACACAUGCAAGUCGAACGAAGCACUUGAGAUUGAUUCUUCGGAUGAUUUCUCUUGUGACUUAGUGGCGGACGGGUGAGUAACGCGUGGGUAACCUGCCUCACACAGGGGGAUAACAGUUGGAAACGACCGCUAAUACCGCAUAACCCGCUAGGGCCGCAUGGCCCGGACGGAAAAGAUUUAUCGGUGUGAGAUGGACCCGCGUUGGAUUAGCUAGUUGGCAGGGUAACGGCCUACCAAGGCGACGAUCCAUAGCCGGCCUGAGAGGGUGAACGGCCACAUUGGGACUGAGACACGGCCCAAACUCCUACGGGAGGCAGCAGUGGGGAAUAUUGCACAAUGGGGGAAACCCUGAUGCAGCGACGCCGCGUGAGUGAAGAAGUAUUUCGGUAUGUAAAGCUCUAUCAGCAGGGAAGAAAAUGACGGUACCUGACUAAGAAGCC